rnacentral:lncRNA from 1 species
CAUAUUUUGGCAGAAAGGUAAGAACUUUAGGGUCUAAGGCAAUGUUGGCCGAAUAUGGUAAGGGGACUAGUACGUAGUUUGUUUUUGAUAUGUAGACUGACGUUUUAGUAACUUGAUUGUAUGAAACUCGUGUGUGGAUCUCGCCAAUGUUUCGUUACAGGUCAGGUGUGUAAACGACACCCACAGUAGACUAGAUCGGCAAAAGCUGAAAAGUCAAAAUGCCGAAAAGUCACCAUUUCGAG